AGAGUUUGAUCAUGGCUCAGGAUGAACGCUAGCGACAGGCUUAACACAUGCAAGUCGAGGGGCAGCAUGAUUUGUAGCAAUACAGAUUGAUGGCGACCGGCGCACGGGUGAGUAACGCGUAUGCAACUUACCUAUCAGAGGGGGAUAGCCCGGCGAAAGUCGGAUUAAUACAAGAUGGCAUCAUGAGUCCACAUGUUCACAUGAUUAAAGGUAUUCCGGUAGACGAUGGGGAUGCGUUCCAUUAGAUAGUAGGCGGGGUAACGGCCCACCUAGUCUUCGAUGGAUAGGGGUUCUGAGAGGAAGGUCCCCCACAUUGGAACUGAGACACGGUCCAAACUCCUACGGGAGGCAGCA
rnacentral:rRNA from 1 species